CAGAGAACUAUGCUGGUUUAAGCCUUAGAGAUAUUGACAAAGAUAGUGGUAAUCCACAAAUGUGUGCUUCCUACCCUGCAGAGAUAGACACAAACUUAAUGGCCUCAGCGCCGAAGGUGCAGUAAACAUUGGAGGAAGGUGCUCAGCUUGUAUUUUUAGGAUGGCAGGAAAGUCCUUCAACGAAGAUUUCCCCUGACAUUUGCAAUGGCAGCAGUGUCACCACCAGAGUUUGACAUUUAUUCACUGAAAUUAUUAUUGACUGUAAUGAUAUAUAGGUAUUUGAACCAAAAUUCCUUAUGAAUUUAUUUCAGUGUAACUUAGCAUACAUUUUGUUCCAAAAUUCUUUACAGAGAUCCACCAAUCCAACGCCCCUGAGUGGACCAACAGAGAGGAGCGGCUGCCAGAGCUUGGGAGCUCCACGGACCACACGGUGACAGCGAGAGCAGGAUGAUGGUGUGCUACGUGCUCAGUUUGUACUCCACCCGAGAUUAUAAUGCAGAGGCUGCUGGACCUUGAAUAA